AGAGCGAACGCUGGCGGCAGGCUUAACACAUGCAAGUCGAGCGGGCGUAGCAAUACGUCAGCGGCAGACGGGUGAGUAACGCGUGGGAACAUACCUUUUGGUUCGGAACAACACAGGGAAACUUGUGCUAAUACCGGAUAAGCCCUUACGGGGAAAGAUUUAUCGCCGAAAGAUUGGCCCGCGUCUGAUUAGCUAGUUGGUGAGGUAAUGGCUCACCAAGGCGACGAUCAGUAGCUGGUCUGAGAGGAUGAUCAGCCACAUUGGGACUGAGACACGGCCCAAACUCCUACGGGAGGCAGCAGUGGGAAUAUUGGACAAUGGGCGCAAGCCUGAUCCAGCCAUGCCGCGUGAGUGAUGAAGGCCCUAGGGUUGUAAAGCUCUUUGUGCGGGAAGAUAAUGACGGUACCGCAAGAAUAAGCCCGGCUAACUUCGUGCCAGCAGCCGC
rnacentral:rRNA from 1 species